GACGAACGCUGGCGGCAGGCUUAACACAUGCAAGUCGAGCGAGCGGCGGACGGGUGAGUAAUGUCUGGGAAACUGCCUGAUGGAGGGGGAUAACUACUGGAAACGGUAGCUAAUACCGCAUACCAUCAGAUGUGCCCAGAUGGGAUUAGCUAGUAGGUGGGGGAAUGGCUCACCUAGGCGACGAUCUCUAGCUGGUCUGAGAGGAUGACCAGCCACACUGGAACGGAGACACGGGCCAUACGCCUACGGGAGGCAGCAGUGGGGAAUAUUGCACAAUGGGCGCAAGCCGGAGGCAGCCAUGCCGCGUGUGUGAAGAAGGCCUUCGGGUUGUAAAGCACGUUCAGCGAGGAGGCGUUACUCGCAGAAGAAGCACCGGCUAACUCCGUGCCAGCAGCCGAGGUAAUAC
rnacentral:rRNA from 1 species